ensembl:lncRNA
GGUGGCUAACCAACCGGACAUAGUGGUGGUAGACAAACAGGAGAAGACGGCCGUAGUGAUCAAUGUAGCGGUUCCGAAUGACAGCAAUAUCAGGAAGAAGGAACACGAGAAGCUGGAGAAAUACCAAGGGCUCAGAGAAGAGCUCGAGAGGAUGUGGAGGGUGAAGGUAACGGUGGUCCCCGUGGUAAUUGGAGCACUAGGUGCGGUGACUCCCAAGCUAGGCGAGUGGCUCCAGCAGAUCCCGGGAACAACAUCGGAGAUCUCUGUCCAGAAGAGCGCAGUCCUGGGAACAGCUAAGAUACUGCGCAGGACCCUCAAGCUCCCAGGCCUCUGGUAGAGGACCCGAGCUUGAAGGAUAAACCGCCCGCAGGGGCGUGCUGGGUGGUUUUUUUUUUUUUAUAGUUAAAAUAUUACAAAAGAAAGUCCACCUUUUCUGCUUUCAGCUCAGUUCAGUUUCAAGACACUUCAACACAUCAACUUCAAGAAUGAACAGUUCCACCUUUUGACAGGAGCCUCUAUGAUAAUCAGUGUUAU